AAUUCCAGGUGUAGCGGUGAAAUGCGUAGAGAUCUGGAGGAAUACCGGUGGCGAAGGCGGCCCCCUGGACGAAGACUGACGCUCAGGUGCGAAAGCGUGGGGAGCAAACAGGAUUAGAUACCCUGGUAGUCCACGCCGUAAACGAUGUCGACUUGGAGGUUGUGCCCUUGAGGCGUGGCUUCCGGAGCUAACGCGUUAAGUCGACCGCCUGGGGAGUACGGCCGCAAGGUUAAAACUCAAAUGAAUUGACGGGGGCCCGCACAAGCGGUGGAGCAUGUGGUUUAAUUCGAUGCAACGCGAAGAACCUUACCUGGUCUUGACAUCCACGGAAGUUUUCAGAGAUGAGAAUGUGCCUUCGGGAACCGUGAGACAGGUGCUGCAUGGCUGUCGUCAGCUCGUGUUGUGAAAUGUUGGGUUAAGUCCCGCAACGAGCGCAACCCUUAUCCUUUGUUGCCAGCGGUCCGGCCGGGAACUCAAAGGAGACUGCCAGUGAUAAACUGGAGGAAGGUGGGGAUGACGUCAAGUCAUCAUGGCCCUUACGACCAGGGCUACACACGUGCUACAAUGGCGCAUACAAAGAGAAGCGACCUCGCGAGAGCAAGCGGACCUCAUAAAGUGCGUCGUAGUCCGGAUUGGAGUCUGCAACUCGACUCCAUGAAGUCGGAAUCGCUAGUAAUCGUGGAUCAGAAUGCCACGGUGAAUACGUUCCCGGGCCUUGUACACACCGCCCGUCACACCAUGGGAGUGGGUUGCAAAAGAAGUAGGUAGCUUAACCUUCGGGAGGGCGCUUACCACUUUGUGAUUCAUGACUGGGGUGAAGUCGUAACAAGGUAACCGUAGGGGAACCUGCGGUUGGAUCACCUCCUUACCUUAAAGAA
rnacentral:rRNA from 1 species